rnacentral:lncRNA from 1 species
UUUUCUCCAUGCGAAAAGACAUAGUUGCCCCUGUGGCUGAUUUACAGUUUGAUACCGUACAAAUCUUUUUUCUUUACAAGCCAUGUCCAACUGAAGCAACUAAUUAACAGGGAACAAAUCAUAUCUACUUUCUUUACAUGGCUGUACCCAACGAACCAGGUACUCACAAAUCAUAGAUUGAUUCUGUUGCUUGCGUCGUCAUGUUCAUGGCUAGUGGAGAGGCAGAUCCACCGCACAUAUAUAGAUCUCUCACCUGUGACUGAAGGAGAUUCAGCAAGAGAUGAAGCAUAUAUAUUUUCAGUGUGAUACAAUUAAACUCUGAAGCAUCUGGGGGAGAUAACUGAACGAAGUGUUUUAUACAAUGUACCCAGCUCCAUGACUGAAGCAGUACGAGCUGCUAGGGUAAUUAGUACUAUCAACACUGUCGCCCAGCCAUGGCUAUUACUGGCAACGCAACGAGCUCACACACAAAAAAUUAUAAAUCUAUGAAUCACUGAAAGAACUUAGUUUUUACCAGCAACGAGCGCAC